GGGGGUGUAAAGGUUUCGACGGGGAUUGUAAGCCCCGGUAAGCGAGUAGCGGUGCGGAACCGCUUUAAAAUCCGCAAUUUAAAAAAUAAACGACAACAAUAAAGUUGCAUUAGCUGCCUGAUUUAGGCGGCCGUUCUGUCCGAUUUUACUGCGCAUCGGAUAAGAGCGUCGAUUAGCAGUGAACGUGAACCGGAAAGAGCCUUGUAUUCGGUCAUGACUUAAAGGGCUACCCGAUUGCAAAGCCUGUUGAUGGGCGUUGCUUUUGGGAAAGCUAAAGCAUCAACUACACUCGUAGAAAGCCUCGGUAAGCGAUUUUCGGACAGGGGUUCAAUUCCCCUCACCUCCACCA
rnacentral:tmRNA from 1 species